rnacentral:rRNA from 1 species
CCUACGGGUGGCAGCAGUCGAGAAUCAUUCACAAUGGGGGAAACCCUGAUGGUGCGACGCCGCGUGGGGGAAUGAAGGUCUUCGGAUUGUAAACCCCUGUCAUGUGGGAGCAAAUUAAAAAGAUAGUACCACAAGAGGAAGAGACGGCUAAAUCUGUGCCAGCAGCCGCGGUAAUACAGAGGUCUCAAGCGUUGUUCGGAAUCACUGGGCGUAAGGCGUGCGUAGGCUGUUUCGUAAGUCGUGUGUGAAAGGCGCGGGCUCAACCCGCGGACGGCACAUGAUACUGCGAGACUAGAGUAAUGGAGGGGGAACCGGAAUUCUCGGUGUAGCAGUGAAAUGCGUAGAUAUCGAGAGGAACACUCGUGGCGAAGGCGGGUUCCUGGACAUUAACUGACGCUGAGGCACGAAGGCCAGGGGAGCGAAAGGGAUUAGAUACCCGGGUAGUC